UACGUAGGGUGCAAGCGUUGUCCGGAAUUAUUGGGCGUAAAGAGCUCGUAGGCGGUUUGUCGCGUCUGCUGUGAAAACUCGGGGCUUAACCCCGGGCCUGCAGUGGGUACGGGCAGACUAGAGUGCGGUAGGGGAGACUGGAAUUCCUGGUGUAGCGGUGAAAUGCGCAGAUAUCAGGAGGAACACCGGUGGCGAAGGCGGCAUUCUGGACCGACAUUGACGCUGAGGAGCGAAAGCCAGGGGAGCAAACGGG
rnacentral:rRNA from 1 species